CUAGCGUUGUUCGGAAUUACUGGGCGUAAAGCGCGCGUAGGCGGCUUUGCAAGUCAGAGGUGAAAGCCUGGAGCUCAACUCCAGAACUGCCUUUGAAACUGCAUCGCUAGAAUCAUGGAGAGGUUAGUGGAAUUCCGAGUGUAGAGGUGAAAUUCGUAGAUAUUCGGAAGAACACCAGUGGCGAAGGCGACUAACUGGACAUGUAUUGACGCUGAGGUGCGAAAGCGUGGGGAGCAAACAGG
rnacentral:rRNA from 1 species